AAGGGCCCUACAUACUUUUGCCUUCAUGGGCCUCUUCGUUUAUGAAAUUUUUAAAAAUUCUAUAUAGAACUGCAUAGAUAUAAAGAUGAAUAAAAGUCAGGCUGGACUCAUUAUCAUAUAUUCAUAUAUUCAUUAUUAUUAUACUCAUUUUUUCCUACUUUAAAAUAAAUUAAAGCAUGUUCUCGGGCCUCUAAGGGGCCUAAUGGAGAAGUCAUCCUGUUACCAGCUUAGGAAGAGUCUUGAGUGCCAUGAUUAGACGUGACUGGACUUUUCUUCAUCAGCCAUUGUUCAACUAAGAACUCUGUGAUUAGACUGUGUUGACCCUGUGUUAGCCCUAGUUGAGAGUGUGAAGAGAAGGCCAAAGAAUGGAAUUUUUGGACGGGGGAGAAGCUGAUCACCAUGACUGAGGUGGGACAUCAAUAGGACCUCCAUAAGAACAGCUGAAAAAGUUGGCGAACACUGCUCCAGGCUGUGGGGGAGAAUCGCAGGGGACUUGGUGAAAAACUGGUAUUUCUUGAGAUGGAGCCAUCAUCAGCCUGUGCAGGCGGCCCUAGAGCUCUUCAAGGUCAUAAUUUAAGGCCAACUCAUACAUACAAGGUAAGUGAUGGAGCGCUCUGAUCUCACUAACUGUGGACAGGACGCCAUGCUUCACUACUGUCCUUGGUAGGUCACAUCUGUGGCCUGGAUUCACGAAGCUUGAUUUAUAGCCCUUCAGCCACAAGCCGUAGGUUACUCCUCCUAACUCUUCCAUGU